rnacentral:rRNA from 1 species
UACGGAGGGUGCGAGCGUUGUCCGGAAUCAUUGGGCGUAAAGGGCGCGUAGGUGGCCCGGUCAGUCCGUGGUGAAAUCUCUGAGCUUAACUCAGAAACUGCCAUGGAUACUAUUUGUCUUGAAUAUUGUGGAGGUCAGCGGAAUAUGUCAUGUAGCGGUGAAAUGCUUAGAUAUGACAUAGAACACCAAUUGCGAAGGCAGCUGGCUACACAGUUAUUGACGCUGAGGCACGAAAGCGUGGGGAUCAAACAGG